UACAGAGGUGGCAAGCGUUGUUCGGAAUUACUGGGCGUAAAGGGCGCGUAGGUGGCCUUCUUAGUCAGACGUGAAAUCCCCGGGCUUAACUCGGGAACUGCGUCUGAUACUGGAAGGCUGGAGUUCGGGAGAGGAAUGUGGAAUUCCAGGUGUAGCGGUGAAAUGCGUAGAUAUCUGGAGGAACACCGGUGGCGAAGGCGGCAUCCUGGACCGGCAUUGACGCUGAGGAGCGAAAGCCAGGGGAGUAAACGGG
rnacentral:rRNA from 1 species